UACACACCGCCCGUCACACCAUGGGAGUCGUUUGCUCCAGAAGUGGCUGCGCCAACCCGCAAGGGAGGCAGGUCCCCAAGGAGUGAACGGUAACUGGGUG
rnacentral:rRNA from 1 species